rnacentral:rRNA from 1 species
GACAGAGGGUGCAAACGUUGCUCGGAAUUACUGGGCGUAAAGCGUGCGCAGGCGGUUCGCUGUGUCCGAUGUGAAAGCCCCGGGCUUAACCUGGGAAUGGCAUUGGAAACUGGCGGGCUUGAGUGCGGCAGAGGGGGUGGAAUUCCGCGUGUAGCAGUGAAAUGCGUAGAGAUGCGGAGGAACACCGAUGGCGAAGGCAGCCCCCUGGGUCGACACUGACGCUCAGGCACGAAAGCGUGGGGAGCAAACAGG